rnacentral:rRNA from 1 species
UACGUAGGGGGCAAGCGUUGUCCGGAAUUAUUGGGCGUAAAGAGCGCGUAGGCGGUCCGAUAAGUCGGCUGUGAAAGUCAAGGGCUCAACCCUUGAAAGCCGGCCGAUACUGUCGGACUAGAGUCCGGAAGAGGCGAGUGGAAUUCCCGGUGUAGCGGUGAAAUGCGCAGAUAUCGGGAAGAACACCCGUGGCGAAGGCGGCACUCUGGGACGGUACUGACGCUGAGACGCGAAAGCGUGGGGAGCGAACAGG